CAACACUCAAGCUCUGCUUGGUAUUGGACCGCAUCAGUUCUGGUCGGUCUUAAAAUCAGUGGCGGUGUCAUCGUGCUCUAAGCGUAGUAAUACUCCUCGCUACAGGGUCUCGGUGAGUGCUUGCCAGCAACCCCCAACUUUCUAA
rnacentral:misc_RNA from 1 species